UUCUCUCUGGAAAAGAGAGGGUUUGCAUUGAAAAUGUAUUAUCAUCCAGUGUCCCAUUUAAAGACCUGUCAAGAUAUAGCAACUGAAACAGGUUACAUCCAGUGGAUGGGCAGGUUCCAUUCACUGGGUACUGGCACAGUGGAUAUCAUAUUAUAUAUAUCGGUGGAACAUUAUACAUAAAUAUGAAUCCUUGUAUAAACACCCAUAUAAAGACCAGGACAGAACAUUCUGAAGCAGUCCCACCCAUAUAGUUACCAGGAUGCAGAACUGACUGGGACAUAAUAAUUCACAUAAUGCGCAGUGUGAAUAAGUACGGAUCUUUUUUAACAUUUCAGCAUAACAAUGUUAGAGUUUUAUUUCAACAAUACUGAUAGGAAAAUAUGAUAAAAUGAAACAGUUGCACAUCUUCAUUAAUCAUUUAUGCCAUAAAAAAAUAAUUUCUUAUGAGGGAAAGUUAGUAUAUGCCUACAUUUAUCCCCAUAUUAAUCGGAUGCAUCAAAAAAUCCCAAAUAAUUAGGCCAUUGCAAUAUCUUUGAGAGAUGCAACUUAUGUUUCUGAGCUGGUGGGUCACAUGAUCAUUUUCAAUGCGUUGUGGAGUUUGUGGUUAAAAAAAUAAUAAAUCGAGGGAGGCUGAGAAUAUUGCGUCGGAAUGGGCCAUGUUCAGCAACUCCUUUGCUGAGGCAGCAUCUCGGGGCUGUGGCUGUAAGGUUGUUGGUACUUGUCGCAGCAGCAAUCCCCAAACCCGAUGGUGGACACCAUUGGUAAAGGGAGCUGUCGGGCUGAAAAAGUCUUCCGAGUUUGGUUAGCUCGUGGGACUUCUGAAGCAGCUGACAGGUAUCAACAGGCCAAGUGCAAAGCAGCUUUGGCGGUUGCCAAAGCAAAAACUCGGGUGUGGGAGGAGUUUGGUGAGGCUAUAGAGAAGGACUUUCGGUCAGUCUCAAACAGGUUCUGGAAAACUGUCAGGCGACAGGGGGAGAGCAGGGCUUUACCCAUGGUGUUAACUGUAUAGUCAGGUGGUAGCAAGAAUAUUUCAAGGGUCUCCUGAAUCCCACUGAUACACCUUCCUUGGUGGAAGUAGAGCUGGAAAACUUAGGGGGGGGCUUGCCCAUCUCUAGGGCUGAGGCCACUGAAAUAGUCAAAAAGCUCUUCGGUGGUAAGGCUCCGGGGGUGGAUGAGAUUCGUCCUGAGUUCUUGACAGCUCUUGAUGUUGGGCUGUCUUGGCUGACACGCCUCUUCAACGUUGGAUUGGCAGACUGGGGUGGUCGUCCUAAUCUUUAAGAAAGGGAACUGGAGGAUGUGUUCCAACUUCAGGGGGAUCACACUCUUCAGCCUCACUUGGAAGAUCUAUGCUGGUGUACUGGAGAGGAGGGUCCUGCCAUUGGUUGAACCUCGGACUCAAGAGGAACAAUGCCGAUUCCAACCAUGGGCGGAACAAUGCCAAUUCCAACCAUGGGUGGAACAAUGCCGAUUCCAACCAUGGGCGGAACAAUGCCGAUUCCAACACUGGGUGGAACAAUGCCGAUUCCAACACUGGACCAGCUUUUCAGUCUCCCAAGGAUACUGGAGGGUUUAUGGGAGUUUGCAAAACCAGUCUACAUGUGUUUUGUGGCCUUGGAAAAGGUAUACGAUGGUGUCCCUCGGGGGAUCCUGUGGGGGGUGCUUCAGGAGUAUGGGGUACGGAGUCUGUUGUUGCUGGUCAUUGGGUCCCAGCACAAACGGAGGAUAAGCUUGGUUCGCAUCACCAGCAGUGAGUCGGACUCAUUCCCGGUGGGUGUUGGACUCCGUCAGGGCUGCCCUUUGUCACCAAUUCUCUUCGUAACAGUUGGUGAAAUCUACAGCAAAACGGGGAUCACAAGUUUCUGGCGCUGUUAUUUUGGGGGUUGUGCACUGAAAAGUUUGAGGAUCCAUGUUCUAUGUGAAAGCGGACAAGUCUACUAUGAUUAAGAGACUGCACAAAUUUGGCCUACAUGGGAGGUCAGCAGAAAAGAACGUUAAGAUUACCUGACCUUUCUCAAAAGCGUUUAAAUGAAGAUUCCAUCCAUCCAUCCAUUCAUCCAUCUAUCCAUCCAUCCAUCCAUCCAUCCAUCCAUCCAUCCAUCCAUCUAUUUCCUAUACCCGCUUGUCCUGUGCAGAGUUGCUGCAGUCCAGAGCCUUUCCUGGAAGCCACAGGCAGAAUAACCCACAAUGGGGUCCCAACCCAUAGAUCAAAUGAAGAUUAAAUAUUUGUUUGUCCAAUUAUGUUGAAAAAGACUUUUUUUAAGGGGUGCUCUUAUUUUUUCACAGCAGUGUAUUUAUAAUAAUGAUUAUUAUUAUCAAUAAUAAAAUAAUUAUUAUUAUAAAUUAUAACAAUAAUAAUAGCUUUUCAUUUUCUGUGGUGCAUGUUUCCUUACAUUUAUUCUAAAUAUGAAAAAUAGAAAAAUUGUAAUGAAAAUAAUAAAAAAUAAUAACAUUUAUUGCCAGGUGGAAUUAUGUGUUUACUUUAGUGUGAGUUUAAGCUGGCUGUAAAGUCUAAGGAUCAGAAGAUACUGUUGUACUGUGUUGCUUUUGUGUAAUGUGGUAACACCAAAGCAAAUGCGCAUCGAUACUGACAGUAAGAUUGUAUUUCAAUGUAGCAUAAACACCCUUAUUAAGGACACAGAUCUUGCUGGUGUGUCCCCCAUGAUCCUGCACUGGAUACGCAUUUGGAAGUCUUUAAGAAUUUUAAUAUUACAAUGCAUUACUAUACUAUACGAUAUAGGCCUAUAGUGUGUCAAGACUGCUUUAAAGGCACAUGAUGCCAUCUGGGAAUCUGAAGAAGCCCCUGGGAAGUAUCGGGUGUUAAGAGGGCAACCCCAAGGAUGCAUAGGUCAUUUAAAUGUUUGUAUUUACAAGGGAGAUGCUUCCUGUGAAGUGCUACCAUUGCUCACCCUGGACACUGAACCCACAUUGUCCAAACUAGUGCAACGAGCAAUGAGGAUUCAAUUGCUGAUCUAAAGAUUCGAGUCGACAGUUUUAUUGAUAGGUCACUAUCGAUUCCUAUAGAUCUAACACCGAAUCAACAGAAAUGUUCUCACCUUUAUCACACUAAUAUCUUUAUCAUUAAUCAAAUGAAAUGGCUGAGUAAAGCUUCUUGUGAUUUUACUACACAAAAAUGUUAAAGGGCUUCCAUUGUAAUCAGCUGAUGUGUUUAAUAAAUUGUAACAAGUCAUUUGUUAGCAUAAAAAUUGUUUAUGGUGCUGUAUUUUUUGAAGAUUAACAGAUAUAGUGGCUUAUCUGAAUUUAUAUUUAGUCAAAGACAAAAUGUAUGUAGGAGUGUCCAAGUGCUAAUGUAACUUUGCAUGACAUUGAAUAAUUUAUCUUUUUGUUGACUAUUGUACAAAAUGCGUCUCCCUACAGCCAUCCCUUCACCCUGGUUGGACUCUACCCCAAUAAAUGUGACCUGAUAUUUGGUCUUGGGACAACGUCAUGUCCAAAUAGUGUCAAAACAAA